GCACAGAGAAACUUGUUUCUUGGGUGACGAGCGGCGGACGGGUGAGUAAUGCUUGGGAACAUGCCUUUAGGUGGGGGACAACAGUUGGAAACGACUGCUAAUACCGCAUGAUGUCUACGGACCAAAGUGGGGGACCUUCGGGCCUCACGCCUAAAGAUUGGCCCAAGUGGGAUUAGCUAGUUGGUGAGGUAAUGGCUCACCAAGGCAACGAUCUCUAGCUGGUUUGAGAGGAUGAUCAGCCACACUGGAACUGAGACACGGUCCAGACUCCUACGGGAGGCAGCAGUGGGGAAUAUUGCACAAUGGGCGAAAGCCUGAUGCAGCCAUGCCGCGUGUGUGAAGAAGGCCUUCGGGUUGUAAAGCACUUUCAGUCAGGAGGAAAGGUUACGUUUUAAUAGAACGUAGCUGUGACGUUACUGACAGAAGAAGCACCGGCUAACUCCGUGCCAGCAGCCGCGGUAAUACGGAGGGUGCGAGCGUUAAUCGGAAUUACUGGGCGUAAAGCGUACGCAGGCGGUUGAUUAAGCGAGAUGUGAAAGCCCCGGGCUCAACCUGGGAACUGCAUUUUCGAACUGGUCAACUAGAGUGUG
rnacentral:rRNA from 1 species